rnacentral:rRNA from 1 species
GGACCCGCACAAGCAGUGGAGCAUGUGGUUUAAUUCGAUGCAACGCGAAGAACCUUACCCAGGCUUGACAUGUAGUGGACCGCCACAGAAAUGUGGCUUCCCUUAGUGGCCGCUACACAGGUGCUGCAUGGCUGUCGUCAGCUCGUGCCGUGAGGUGUUGGGUUAAGUCCCGCAACGAGCGCAACCCUUGUCAUUAGUUGCCAGCAUUUCGGAUGGGAACUCUAAUGAGACUGCCUAGGUUAACUAGGAGGAAGGUGAGGAUGACGUCAAGUCCGCAUGGCCCUUAUGCCUGGGGCUACACACGUGCUACAAUGGCCGGUACAGAGGGCAGCGAAACCGCGAGGUGAAGCAAAUCUCAUAAAACCGGUCCCAGUUCGGAUUGUAGUCUGCAACUCGACUACAUGAAGUUGGAAUUGCUAGUAA